GCCACGUUUCUCAAAACAGCCAUGACCUUAUCUUCCGGUUAUUCCAAGAAAACAAUCUUAUAUCUCGAUCCAACAUUUUGCCGUGAAGAAACCCAAAUUACAAGUAGAGAUUUUCUGAUUCUUCCUUUGUUUAAAUGAUAUAUGCAUAUAUAUUAUCUUUUUUCCUUGUUAGAUUAACUUGAUCUGCUGCAAAAUUGUUUCAACGAAGCCGAUUGUUUUCCUCUUUCUCCGUUAACAUCUCAUCAUGCUUGGGGAAGUUUCAAUCGCACGUUGCUGAAAGUAGCAACUCAACUCGGAGAAAAAUAUAGACGAGCUUUAACUAACUUUGCCGAAUGGGGAAUGGAGAUAUUGAUGAACGUUUGUUUCAUUUUGCUCUCAAGGCACUGCUGAUCCAAUUGUAUGGUGUUAUUCUUUCUUUAUUUCCACCAAGUCAGAGAUCGAAUAAGGCACCACCGAAUGAUGAUGAAAUCCUUAUUAAUCAUUAAUAGAAAACUAUGGAGCUAUGUACUGGAGACGUGCAUCUGGAAGUUAAAUCAUGUUGUUUUUACAUAAAAAAAAGAUCUUGUUGUUAUAACAUGAAUGAAUUAUGUAACUUUUGUUGAUUGUUGUGGUCAACUUUGUAAAUUGGAUUCAAGUUGAUUUUAAUAAAACUGGUUACAUUUUGUAACGAAAUUUCAUA